CUUUCUGUGCCUUCAUUCUCUUCUCUUCAUGUCAAGAAGACUGACAUCCAUUCUGAUAAUUAUGACAGGACCUGGGGUAGCGAGCAUGGACUCAGAUUCUUCUGUAAGAGUGGGCCAGUGUCAAGGAGGUCACUAAAGGACAACAGAAUGAUGCCUUGAACUGAGCAGUACAGAAUCUUACACAGGUUGUAGAAAUAAUGUCUUGGAAGCUG
rnacentral:lncRNA from 1 species